GCGAAAGUGGCGGAAUUGGUAGACGCACUGGAUUUAGGUUCCAGCGGGCAGCCCCCGUGCGGGUUCGAGUCCCGCCUUUCGCACCA
rnacentral:tRNA from 1 species